UUNCAUGGAUUUAACCUAUGGUGAGCAGCC
rnacentral:piRNA from 1 species